UCAUUACCGAGUGUAGGGUUCCUAGCGAGCCCAACCUCCCACCCGUGUUUACUGUACCUUAGUUGCUUCGGCGGGCCCGCCAUUCGUGGCCGCCGGGGGCUCUCAGCCCCGGGCCCGCGCCCGCCGGAGACACCACGAACUCUGUCUGAUCUAGUGAAGUCUGAGUUGAUUGUAUCGCAAUCAGUUAAAACUUUCAACAAUGGAUCUCUUGGUUCCGGCAUCGAUGAAGAACGCAGCGAAAUGCGAUAACUAGUGUGAAUUGCAGAAUUCCGUGAAUCAUCGAGUCUUUGAACGCACAUUGCGCCCCCUGGUAUUCCGGGGGGCAUGCCUGUCCGAGCGUCAUUGCUGCCCAUCAAGCACGGCUUGUGUGUUGGGUCGUCGUCCCCUCUCCGGGGGGGACGGGCCCCAAAGGCAGCGGCGGCACCGCGUCCGAUCCUCGAGCGUAUGGGGCUUUGUCACCCGCUCUGUAGGCCCGGCCGGCGCUUGCCGAACGCA
rnacentral:rRNA from 1 species